AGUAAAGUGGCGCACGGGUGAGUAACACGUGAAUAAUCUACCUCCGAGUGGGGAAUAACUGAGAGAAAUCUUAGCUAAUACCGCAUAACACUUACGAGUCAAAGCAGCAAUGCGCUUGGAGAGGAGUUCGCGGCCGAUUAGUUAGUUGGCGGGGUAAUGGCCCACCAAGACGAUGAUCGGUAUCCGGCCUGAGAGGGCGCACGGACACACUGGAACUGAAACACGGUCCAGACUCCUACGGGAGGCAGCAGUGGGGAAUUUUGCGCAAUGGGGGAAACCCUGACGCAGCAACGCCGCGUGGAGGAUGAAGUAUCUUGGUACGUAAACUCCUUUCGAUUGGGAAGAUAAUGACGGUACCAAUAGAAGAAGCCCCGGCUAACUUCGUGCCAGCAGCCGCGGUAAUACGAGGGGGGCAAGCGUUGUUCGGAUUUAUUGGGCGUAAA
rnacentral:rRNA from 1 species